GGAGGAAACCCAGUUCAGUCUAGAACAUACAACUAGGCAAGUUACCCCCUUGGUCUUAGCUCCUUGGGAGAGAAGAAAAGUGGGUGGGUUGGCCUACUGGGCCUCCUCUCUUGGAGAGGAGUGGAACUGAGAACCUGGUGGCUUUUGGGAGCAGGUGCAAAUCCCUUUCUGAAGACUCUUGGCUUUCUUUCCCCUGAGCCACUGGGUAAUCCUCCGCUGGUGUUGGGGUUCCUGAACCCCUACCUCUUGCCUCCUCAAGGCUGCCUUUGGGAUGGAUCUGCGUUCUGUGUCUGGCUGAGAAAUAGGGGUCUUUUCUGAGAUGACUCUUUACCUGGGAUUGUCAAAAUGCAUUUGUCUUUUGUAGAAGUCCCUUAGCAGAAAAGAGCUCUAAGAAAGUUCCCCUUCUGUGAGAUCAGAGGGCCAAGGAAUUUACUGUGCUUUCUUUCCUUUUACCCCUUCUUUCCUCUGCAGGGGAAGGCAGGAGACCACACCUGUGUUUGUAAUAUCACAGACAUGCUGGGAUCCGCAAAUGUGUCAUUAGCCCACCGGGUUGGCACGGAACAGCUGCAUCUGAAGCACUGGCCAUCGUUAGGAUCCACACGUGUGAAGCCAGCUCCAGAGCCCUUUGAUAAUGGGGCUACAUCCCUUCCCAGCAUCUGCUUGCUUCCACACAUGCAGGUGCCAUCUCUCUCCCAUCUCUCCUGAUUCCAGAUCAUCUGACCCUGAUUCCCCAAAUGGUGGUUGCUGGCGCUGCCUGUCUUUCUGCCAAUCAGGGACGAGAGGGAAAUGAAGAUACAUGGCACCGGAGUUACCUCCUCCCCCAGGUAUCAUGUAAGUCUCAGUGGCCCUGAAGACAAAAGCAUUGUUAAUGUUUGAAUCAAUGUUCUCGGCUCCUUUGAGAAUUGUCCCUGAUUACUGCCACCCGCACCGGUCUACCCUUUUCUCUGGUCAUCACACUGCUUAAGGUCUAUCAUGCUUCUUUUGGCCCUUCUCAUGAUUAUCCAAAUGUUUGUUUGCAGAUACCGGAAAUUUCCAGCGAGAUGGAAAGCUCUGCGAAAGCGGGGACCAUGCUUUAUACUUUUACUGUUCCCAGAGCUCCUUGCAUGUUGCUGAGUACAAAAUAGGUGCUUUGGUUAAUACUUCGGCAGGUAUUUAGUGAGUGCAUUCUCUUUGUAGACAUGGCUGUGUGACUUUGAACAAAUGAACUUACCCUGGUAGCCUCAGUUCCUUUACCUGUCAUGAGGGGAUAGAAAAGCUAGCCUUGGGGCCUCUGGGUGGCUCAGUCGGUUAGGCGUUUGACUCUUGGUUUCAGCUCAGGUCAUGAUCUCGUGGUUCGGAUCUCACAACGGGCUCUGGGCUGACGGUGUGGAGCCUGCUUGAGAUUCUCUCUCUUUCCUCUCUCUGCCCUUCCCACAUUUCUUGUCCUCAAAAUAAAUAAAAAAUAAAACUUAAAAAUAUACA
rnacentral:lncRNA from 1 species